GACGAACGCUGGCGGCGUGCUUAACACAUGCAAGUCGAACGGUAAGGCCCUUCGGGGUACACGAGUGGCGAACGGGUGAGCAACACGUGGGUGAUCUGCCCUGCACUUCGGGAUAAGCCUGGGAAACUGGGUCUAAUACCGGAUAGGACCACUGCCUACAUGGGUGGUGGUGGAAAGCUUUUGCGGUGUGGGAUGGGCCCGCGGCCUAUUAGCUUGUUGGUGGGGUGAUGGCCUACCAAGGCGACGACGGGUAGCCGGCCUGAGAGGGUGACCGGCCACACUGGGACUGAGAUACGGCCCAGACUCCUACGGGAGGCAGCAGUGGGGAAUAUUGCACAAUGGGCGCAAGCCUGAUGCAGCGACGCCGCGUGAGGGAUGACGGCCUUCGGGUUGUAAACCUCUUUCAGCACCGACGAAGCGCAAGUGACGGUAGGUGCAGAAGAAGGACCGGCCAACUACGUGCCAGCCGCCGCUGUAA
rnacentral:rRNA from 1 species